rnacentral:tRNA from 1 species
CAGGGUGUGUCUCAGUGGUAGAGUGCUUGCCUAACAGGUAUGAGGCCCUGGGUUCAAUUCUCAGCUCCAUUC